GGUGGACAAUUCAUGAGUUUACCCUGUAUAAGCUUUAUACAGAGUAAAACGGAUUUAUAUGGAAUUUGGAUCUCAUUGGGAGCUGGAAAUACAGAUUUUG